UGGCUUAGAUGGUAAAGCAUCUACCUGUAAUGCAGGAGAUCCAGGUUCAACCCCUGG
rnacentral:tRNA from 1 species